AAGGGAGCGUAGGCGGCUGAUUAAGUCAGCGGUGAAAGGUAGCAGCUUAACUGUUUUACAUGCCGUUGAUACUGGUUAGCUUGAGUUGACAGAAGGCAGAUAGAAUUCCUGAUGUAGCGGUGAAAUGCUUAGAUAUCAGGAGGAAUACCGAUUGCGAAGGCAGUCUGCUGCAGUCACACUGACGCUGAGGCUCGAAGGUGCGGGGAUCAAACAGGAUUAGAUACCCCUGU
rnacentral:rRNA from 1 species